GAUGCAGGGAGAGCUUACUCUUGUAAUGACCUUCUCACUAGAACUACUUGGGCCCUGUGGGAACCACCAGAUCCCUUCUGAGGGCAUUGCCAGUGUCCGAAGGAUAAGCCACAAGGCCCUACUACUUAAAGGUCUCAACACCUCAACAUCACCACCCUGGGGACCAAAAUUGGAACAGAUGAACCUCUGAGAGACAAGCCACAUCUACCUGUGCAGAAUACUGCAGGAGGAAGCAAAAGCUGAGAUGAAUGCCUACACACACUAAUGUGGUAUGUUGUCCAAAUGGAAAUAUUCUCCAGAGUAACAGCAUCAAGAUAAAACCAAGAUAAAGAGCUGGC